GACGUAGGAGGCGAGCGUUGUCCGGAUUCAUUGGGCGUAAAGAGCACGCAGGCGGUUUGGCAAGUCGGACGUGAAAAUCCGGGGCUCAACCCCGGACCUGCAUCCGAAACUGCCCGACUAGAGGUAGGUAGGGGAGAUCGGAAUUCCUGGUGUAGCGGUGAAAUGCGCAGAUAUCAGGAGGAACACCGGUGGCGAAGGCGGAUCUCUGGGCCAUACCUGACGCUAAAGCGCGACAGCAUGGGGAGCAAACGGG
rnacentral:rRNA from 1 species